GCACAAGCGGUGGAGCAUGUGGUUAAUUCGACGCAACGCGAAGAACCUUACCAGGGCUUGACAUCCCCUGACCGCGUAUGAAAGUACGUUUUCACCCUCGGGUGACAGGGAGACAGGUGGUGCAUGGGUUGUCGUCAGCUCGUGUCGUGAGAUGUUGGGUUAAGUCCCGCAACGAGCGCAACCCCUACGUUUAGUUGCUAACAGGUGAAGCUGAGCACUCUAGACGAACUGCCGUUGACAAAACGGAGGAAGGUGGGAUGACGUCAAAUCAUCAUGCCCCUUAUGUUCUGGGCUACACACGUGCUACAAUGGCCGGUACAGACGGAGGCGAAGCCGCGAGGCGGAGCAAAUCCGAAAAAGCCGGUCUCAGUUCGGAUUGCAGGCUGCAAUUCGCCUGCAUGAAGUCGGAAUCGCUAGUAAUCGCAGGUCAGCAUACUGCGGUGAAUACGUUCCCGGGCCUU
rnacentral:rRNA from 1 species